GCAGGGUGUGGACUGCACCAUCCCGUGCUCCAGUGGUUCUUGGGGACUGAGCUGCAAUCAGACGUGUCAGUGUGCCAACGGGGCGGCCUGCGACCCCGCCAACGGCACCUGCACCUGCUCCUCGGGCUGGAGGGACGAGUACUGCGACGCACCGUGUCCGGAGGGCUCGUACGGGCUGGACUGCAGAGAGAGAUGCGACUGUGUCAACUCUGACGGGUGUGAUCCAGUGAGCGGCUUCUGUCGCUGUCUCACAGGAUGGACCGUCAAGUCGUCUUUUCACCACGAACGAUACGAAGAAACACUCAGAUCUGCUGGACACCAG